ACGACCUUACUUGAACAUGAUCUGUUCUAUAGGAUUGUACCUCUGUAUUUUGAUUCCUAAGAAGACAGGAACCCAUGUCUGGUUGAUGAACCACGACCAUGUAAUCAGAGUGUGAUUAACAGAGCUUUAUGUGUGGUCUUGGCCGUGGCUCAGUAGAUGAUCGUUAUGCAGCUCAUUUCAUAGGUCUUGACAUGGUUACAUGGUUAUCUGACAUACC